GACGAACGCUGGCGGCGUGCCUAACACAUGCAAGUCGAACGGAACUGUUUUGAAAGAUUUCUUCGGAAUGAAUUUGAUUUAGUUUAGUGGCGGACGGGUGAGUAACGCGUGAGUAACCUGCCUUCAAGAGGGGAAUAACAUUCUGAAAAGAAUGCUAAUACCGCAUGACAUAUCGGAACCACAUGGUUUUGAUAUCAAAGAUUUUAUCGCUUGAAGAUGGACUCGCGUCCGAUUAGUUAGUUGGUGAGGUAACGGCUCACCAAGACCGCGAUCGGUAGCCGGACUGAGAGGUUGAACGGCCACAUUGGGACUGAGACACGGCCCAGACUCCUACGGGAGGCAGCAGUGGGGGAUAUUGCGCAAUGGGGGCAACCCUGACGCAGCAACGCCGCGUGAAGGAUGAAGGUUUUCGGAUUGUAAACUUCUUUUAUUAAGGACGAAAAAUGACGGUACUUAAUGAAUAAGCUCCGGCUAACUGCGUG
rnacentral:rRNA from 1 species